AGAGUUUGAUCAUGGCUCAGGAUGAACGCUGGCGGCGUGCCUAACACAUGCAAGUCGAGCGAUUCUCUUCGGAGAAGAGCGGCGGACGGGUGAGUAACGCGUGGGUAACCUGCCUCAUACACAUGGAUAACAUACCGAAAGGUAUGCUAAUACAAGAUGAUAUAAGAGAUUCGCAUGGAUUUCUUAUCAAAGCUCCGGCGGUAUGAGAUGGACCCGCGUCUGAUUAGCUAGUUGGUAAGGUAACGGCUUACCAAGGCGACGAUCAGUAGCCGACCUGAGAGGGUGAUCGGCCACAUUGGAACUGAGACACGGUCCAAACUCCUACGGGAGGCAGCAGUGGGGAAUAUUGCACAAUGGGCGAAAGCCUGAUGCAGCAACGCCGCGUGAGCGAUGAAGGCCUUCGGGUCGUAAAGCUCCGUCCUCAAGGAAGAUAAUGACGGUACUUGAGGAGGAAGCCCCGGCUAACUACGUGCCAGCAGCCGCGGUAAUACGUAGGGGGCUAGCGUUAUCCGGAUUUACUGGGCGUAAAGGGUGCGUAGGUGGUUUCUUAAGUCAGGAGUGAAAGGCUACGGCUCAACCGUAGUAAGCUCUUGAAACUGGGAAACUUGAGUGCAGGAGAGGAAAGUGGAAUUCCUAGUGUAGCGGUGAAAUGCGUAGAUAUUAGGAGGAACACCAGUAGCGAAGGCGGCUUUCUGGACUGUAACUGACACUGAGGCACGAAAGCGUGGGGAGCAAACAGGAUUAGAUACCCUGGUAGUCCACGCCGUAAACGAUGAGUACUAGGUGUCGGGGGUUACCCCCCUCGGUGCCGCAGCUAACGCAUUAAGUACUCCGCCUGGGGAGUACGCUCGCAAGAGUGAAACUCAAAUGAAUUGACGG
rnacentral:rRNA from 1 species